rnacentral:rRNA from 1 species
CCUACGGGAGGCUGCAGUGAGGAAUAUUGGUCAAUGGACGAGAGUCUGAACCAGCCAAGUAGCGUGAAGGAUGACUGCCCUAUGGGUUGUAAACUUCUUUUAUAUGGGAAUAAAACAGGGUAUGCAUACCCUCUUGUAUGUACCAUAUGAAUAAUGAUCGGCUAACUCCGUGCCAGCAGCCGCGGUAAUACGGAGGAUCCGAGCGUUGUCCGGAUUUAUUGGGUUUAAGGGGAGCGUAGGUGGUUUGUUAAGUCAGUUGUGAAAGUUUGGGGCUCAACCGUAAGAUUGCAGUUGAAACUGGCAGUCUAGAGUAAAGGAGAGGUGUGCGGAAUUCGUGGUGUAGCGGUGAAAUGCUUAGAUAUCGAGAAGAACUCCGAUGGCGAAGGCAGCUCACUGGACUGCAACUGACACUGAGGCUCGAAAGUGUGGGUAUCAAACAGGAUUAGAUACCCGGGUAGUC